GGUUGUGGCUCAGUGGUACAGCGCUUGCCUAGCAUGCAUGAGGCCUUGGGUUUGAUCCCAGGCACCA
rnacentral:tRNA from 1 species